AUAAAACUUGCCUAAGGUUACACAGCCGAGUUUUUCAGUUUUAUUCUUCUAGAGCACAAUUUUCCGGCCUGUUACUGAGUACGGUCUUCUAACAGGUACACAAUUAACUCAUAAGUAGACAACACAAUGGCAGUAUUUGGGAUCCGCCGGAUAAGCUGGGCAAACAGUCCUCUAUAAAAGGCGAGGUAGCCUUCUUCCUGGAACACCAGGCGCGCCGUCUGGACAAAAGACUUGUACUUGGUGCCCUCUUCCCGGAGCCUCGUCCUUAUAACUUCGUGUGGAUAAGCAAUGCAGGAGGCACAGCCCUUAGAAAGAGCAGCAGCUGCCAUAAGUCCAAAAAAACUUGUGGAAUUUUUCUCAGUCCCAUUUGCAGAAGAGGCUAAUGGAGCUUCUUUCAGAUACUUCUUUAAACUUUCAUAAAUAGCAAAGCAGAUUAUAGUUUCGGAAAUUCCAGCAUACGAGGCAGUUAAUCCUCUAUAGAAGCCACGAAUGCCUUCGGUCUGGUAAACGUAACGAGCACACUGGAGUGUAUUCACCUGCUUAAAGCCCCUCACUUUCUGUUCUAGCUGCAUUCGGGUUUUAACCAUCCAUAUAGGAUUCAUUAAGGAAUUUGUGAUAAAAGCUGCAGAGCCAGCUGAGAAAAUAUGCACAAUAUUGCUGUUAGGCACGAAAAUGCCAUUAAAUUGCUCUUUGGCUUUGGAGUAACAUGCAAAGUAUACAGCCCUUGAUGGUGCAACUCCAACCAAAUUUGGACCCAAGCCUCUAAAAAGUGACUUUGGUCCCUCUUUCUCCAAGAUCGACUUCAGAACCUGAAAGAGUCCAGGUGUCACGGAUGUUGGUCUCACCAUUCCAGCUCCACUAAUGGUCCCCAGAUGAACCUGAGGAUAGUAGACUGUCCGGAGAGCUAAUCUUAAAGACUGCAACCGUGUCUUAAUGACUUCUAGUGGACAAGUGAAAAUAGCACCAACUGUGCCUCCACACCCGCCGGCGAAGAGGUGAAGCAGCGUGUUCUCCUUCUGCUGGCCGCCCGUCGCCAUGGCCGCGCCGGCUCCGCGGCCCGUCGCCGCCCGGUGGCGAGAGCGCGUGGCGGCUCGAGGGAUGCGCGGAGGUCGCCGGGUCUUGU
rnacentral:lncRNA from 1 species